UUCUUCCCUUGGGCCUGCACGCGAGCUAGGUCUGCAUUUUAAAAAUAAUUUAUUUGUAUAAAUUAAGCAUACACGGAAAAGUAUUGAUUAUGUUAUUUUAAUAGUAUUUUUUUGUUUCAGGUUAUACCAACGUCUACUCCUGAGCGCCAAAAAUGGAGCUUAAGAAUGCAGGUUUUAGCUUUGUUGGGUCUGGGUGAAAUUACACAUGAACCUUGCGAAGCUUUUCAAGUUAAAACUCAAGAAAUGUUAAAGUAGAUGAAUAUUAGAAAACUGUAGUUUAUAAUAUGUAGAGAAUAUUAUUUUAAUAUUUAUGAAAAGUGUCAUCCUCGAGAUAACGGCGUCCGGG